GUGUAGAGGGUUGUUGAACCCUAGAUUGAGUUGAGUUUGAGUUUAAGUGGUUAGCUAGUCAUUAGCGGUUAUGAUUUUAUAUCGUUAAUUAUCUAGCUAUUAUUAUCUGCUGCGUAUUUCUGAUAUUGCUUAUCUAUUGAAUUGGAUUGAUUUAUUAUUCGGUGAACCUCUCGCUUUAGAUUGUUUGGGAUAGGAUAGCGAGAGGUUUUAUUUGUUAGUUGGGGAUCAUAAUUCACUGAGUAACAUUAGGUUACUCAUCCAACUCCGUUGUC
rnacentral:lncRNA from 1 species